rnacentral:rRNA from 1 species
GCGGCCKGCAACCAUGCAGUUGAGCGAUGAAGUUUCCUUCGGGAAGCGGAUUAGCGGCGGACGGGUGAGUAACACGUGGGUAACCUACCUCAAAGUGGGGAAUAGCCUCUCGAAAGGGAGAUUAAUACCGCAUAACGUAAGAGAAUCGCAUGAUUUUCUUACCAAAGAUUUAUCGCUUUGAGAUGGACCCGCGGCGCAUUAGCUAGUUGGUGAGGUAAAUGCUCACCAAGGCAACGAUGCGUAGCCGACCUGAGAGGGUGAUCGGCCACAUUGGAACUGAGACACGGUCCAGACUCCUACGGGAGGCAGCAGUGGGGAAUAUUGCGCAAUGGGGGAAACCCUGACGCAGCAACGCCGCGUGAGUGAUGAAGGUCUUCGGAUUGUAAAGCGCUGUUUUCUGGGACGAUAAUGACGGUACCAGAAGAGGAAGCCACGGCUAACUACGUGCCAGCAGCCGCGGUAAUACGUAGGUGGCGAGCGUUGUCCGGAUUUACUGGGCGUAAAGGGUGCGUAGGCG